UACGGGGGCCAGAAUUCCUGCCGGGGCAACACAUCGGCCACUGCCCAUAUUCUACGGUUCCACCCGUUGCUGCGGCCGCGACCGCCACCGCCGGCAUGGCGCCACGGGCGCUGCUCUCCCGCAUCCGCCUCGCCCCUCUCCUCCAUCACCAUCACCUGCGCCGCUCUCUCUCCGCUGCCACCUCGCCACCAGACGAGUCGCCCGCUUCUCCUCCCGGGCCGCCGCCGCCCUCCAACUCCAGGCUCUUCGUCGCCGGGUUGGCUUGGUCUGUGGACGAGCGCUCCCUCACUGACGCCUUCUCCUCCUUCGGCACCGUCACCGAAGAUGGUGCGCACGCUAGGUAUUCGACGAAACACCGCGGAGGCCGAGAGCGACACGAUCGCGCCCGUUCCCAGCCCCGCGAGCUGCUUGACGAAAUGCCUGUUAGGGACGUGGUUGCCUGCUCGGCAGUGAUCUACCGGCAUGCGAGGAGCGGGUCAUUUCAUGAGGCACUUAGGCUGUUUGUCAGCAUGAUGAGGGCGGGGGUGUGCCCCAACUCAUUCACCUUGGUUGGCGUGUUGCUUGCGGUGGCUGGCCUGGGUGAUGCAGUGCUCGCCGAGUGCAUCCAUGGGUGGGCUGUGAAGAGUCGGUUGGAAUCCAAUCCUUUUGUUGCGACCGCACUGGUUCAUGCAUACGCAAAAUGUGAGUUCCCCAUGAAGGCAUGGGCUUUUUUUGGUGACAUGAGGGAUCCCAGUGUUGUUUCCUGGAAUGCGAUGAUCUCCGGGCUAGUGCAAAAUGAUUUGUUUGAGGAAGCAUUGUUGGUGUUUAAAAGGUUGUGUUGUUAUUUUGGACCAGUUCAUAGUGUUGUGACCAUGAUUAGCGUUGCUCAAGCUUAUGCUGCUUGUGGUGACCUUGGACUGUGCGAGAGUGCACAUGCUUACACAGUCAAGAUCGGGCUGGACUUGGAUGUCUCCGUGACAAACUCGAUACUUGGCAUGUACUUGAGUUUCGGCAAUCUUGGGACUGGAAGAAAGAUUUUCAGGAAAAUUGCUGUUAGUGAUGUUGUUACUUGGACGACAAUGAUGAAUUUCCUUCUCAAGCAGGCUCAUGCUGGUGAAGUCAUACGUGUCUUUGUUCAGAUGAGGUCAAAUGGCAUAGUGCCUGACAGGGUAGCAAUGGUCAGUUUGGUGCAAGCUUGUGCGCUUUUGGGCGAUGGAAGGAGAGGAAAAUUGGUUCAUAACCAAAUGGUCAUCCAUGGGUUUAGUAGGGAGCUUCCUGCAGUCAAUUCCUUAAUCACAAUGUAUUCAAAAUGUGAUGAUUUAAGUUCUGCAAGAGUGCUAUUUGAUGGAACAAGGGAGAAGAGCUUGGUUUCAUGGACUGUGAUGGUGUCAGGGUACGUAGGAAGUGGAAAUGCUCUAGAGGGGAUGUAUCUCUUUAGUAAGAUGAGGCGUGAAGAUGUGUUUGUGAUUGAUUCUGUGACGUUAGUCAGCAUAUUGGUUGCUUGCUAUGAGAUUGCUAAGUUUCAGCUGUGUGUUCAACUUCAUGGGUAUAGCUACAAGUCAGGUCUGUAUCUGUACAGACCUGUCCAUAAUACCCUCAUGGCUGUUUAUGGUAAGUGUGGAUAUGUCAGUUUAGCCCAUAAAGUGUUUGAUGAGUUGAGUUCUCGCGAUGUUGUCUCUUGGAAUACUAUGAUAUUAUCCUAUGGUAUAAAUGGCCAAGGAGAGCAAGCGAUAGCACUUUUUAAUGAAAUGGAGAAAUCUAGUGAGGAGCGAGAUACUGUCACAUACUUGAACGCACUGCUGGCAUGCAGCCAUUCUGGACUGAUUGAUGAUGGAUUGAUCAUCUUUAGGAGAAUGAUUAACGAAAAGCACAUAAAUCCAUGUCAGGAGCACAUUGGAUGCCUAGUGGAUAUGUUGGCAAGAGCUGGCCGCUUGGGCGAAGCAGAACACGUGGUUAAAUUGACUCACAAAGUGGGAGCAAAUGCAUGGAAGGCUUUGAUGGGAGGGGGUCAUCUGCAUAGUGACAUGGAGUUAACUAAAGUUGCUGCCGAGAAGGUGCUGAAAAUGGACUCAUUUGAUUAUGGGCAUGUGGUGUUACUUUCUAACGCUUAUGCAUCAGCUGGGAAAUAUAGUGCUGCCGAAUCUAUCAGAUCCUGUUAUUCAAAACAAACUAAAAAGAAAACUCUCGGGCUUAGCUCCAUUGAGGUCACGCCAUCCAACACAAGAUAGCACAACCAUACUUCGAUGGAAGGGAAAAGAUAUAUCAGGCAAUUACUAUCCACUGUCUGAAGCUAUUGGGAUCUAUUUUAGGCAGGAGUGACGGAGUUUUACUCUGUCAGACGGCCAAGUCUCUUGUGAAUAAAAGAGACGCAUCAAGCAUGCAUGAGGUUUCAAAUGGUGCAGUUGACGAAAUAGAGAAUUGCAUUGGUCCUUGGGUCAUGACAAACUAAGAAUUUUUCAUCUAUUCUAGCACGGUUGAUUUAGGAACCUUGUGUCAUGUGAAUAUGGAGUUUAUCUGAUGGUAUUCCGACCCAAUAGGAGACUUGUUAAUUAGAAUAAUGUAUGACAAAAACUCUGGAAGGUCAAGAGGCUUUGGAUUUGUUCACUUCUCAAACGAUCAUGAAGCUAAGUGUGCCAAGGAUACUAUGGAUGGAAAGGUGAUGCUGGGGCGGCCGUUGCGGAUAAGUUUUGCUCUUGACAAAGUCCGUGGUACACAAGUUAUUGUUCCUCGACUUUCUACG